rnacentral:rRNA from 1 species
UUGCACGCUGGCGGCAUGCUUUACCCCUGCCAGUCGAACGGUAACAGGCCUUCGGGUGCUGACGAGUGGCGAACGGGUGAGUAAUGCAUCGGAACGUGCCCAGAGGUGGGGGAUAACGCAGCGAAAGCUGUGCUAAUACCGCAUGUGAUCUGAGGAUGAAAGCGGGGGACCAGGCAGCAAUGUUUGGCCUCGCGCCUUUGGAGCGGCCGAUGUCAGAUUAGGUAGUUGGUGGGGUAAAGGCCUACCAAGCCGACGAUCUGUAGCUGGUCUGAGAGGACGACCAGCCACACUGGGACUGAGACACGGCCCAGACUCCUACGGGAGGCAGCAGUGGGGAAUUUUGGACAAUGGGCGCAAGCCUGAUCCAGCAAUGCCGCGUGCGGGAAGAAGGCCUUCGGGUUGUAAACCGCUUUUGUACGGAACGAAAAGGCUCUGGCUAAUACCUGGGGCUGAUGACGGUACCGUAAGAAUAAGCACCGGCUAACUACGUG